UACCAGCACCCCGAGUGGUCGGGACGAUUAUUGGGCCUAAAGCAUCCGUAGCCGGUUCUACAAGUCUUCCGUUAAAUCCACCUGCUCAACAGAUGGGCUGCGGAGGAUGCUAUAGAGCUAGGAGGCGGGAGAGGCAAGCGGUACUUAGUGGGUAGGGGUAAAAUCCGUUGAUCCAUUGAAGACCACCAGUGGCGAAGGCGGCUUGCCAGAAUGCGCUCGACGGUGAGGGAUGAAAGCUGGGGGAGCAAACCGG
rnacentral:rRNA from 1 species